rnacentral:rRNA from 1 species
AUACGGAGGGUGCAAGCGUUAAUCGGAAUUACUGGGCGUAAAGCGCGCGUAGGCGGCUUUGUAAGUCGGAUGUGAAAGCCCUGGGCUCAACCUGGGAAUUGCACUCGAUACUGCAGAGCUAGAGUAUGGUAGAGGGAAGUGGAAUUUCCGGUGUAGCGGUGAAAUGCGUAGAUAUCGGAAGGAACACCAGUGGCGAAGGCGACUUCCUGGGCCAAUACUGACGCUGAGGUGCGAAAGCGUGGGGAGCAAACAGGAUUAGAAACCCCUGUAGUCC